ensembl:lncRNA
GGUAUUCUGCAUGGCACAGACGAUGUCUUCUGUGGAAAAUUCAAGACGAUGUAUUUCCAUUCAGCUGUUACUAAAAAGCUGUAGUGCUUUUGGUUUGCCAAUCCAAGUUUCCUGGCCAAUGCACCAAUUAAUGUAGUGGGUCUAGUGCUGGCCAAACGCCAGUGCACCUACCAGAAUUAUUUACUCAUUUUCUGCUGUGAGAUAAGGAUUAAGAGGAGAGCAAAGCAGGGCCAAAAUGUUAAAGGGUAUAAAGAAAACUUUAUUAACUAAAAGAAAAAUAAUAAGAAUUCAGAAUAAUCCUUAAGAACAGUUCUCUUCCCCCUAACUCCUCUUUUUUCACUGAAAACAUAAAAAGAAAAAAUUUGGUAUUUUCAGUCAGUUUACCACUUUUAAAAUAAUCUUUCCUUAGUUCACUUAGGGAGAGGAGUCUCUUCUACCAUGCCAUGGAGAUUUUUCCACAAGAAACAGUUCUCUCAUGGUUUUAAUUUUCACGAAUAGCAGCCACCCAGAAAUCUGCAAUCACAAAGUACCUCCCAUGGUUUGGCAAUCUUCCCACAACUACAACCAUGGGGCUUCUCAGUUUAUUGGUGUGCAAUUUUAAGGAUAAACCGUUCUAGUAAAGAAACAAAAGUUCUUUUAUCUCUGGGAACAGAGGUUUUCUUUGUCCAUCCCUGGGGCAAGGUUUCUCAUCUCUCUCAUCUCUCUCUUCAAGCUUCUCAAUGGAUCACAGCUAUUCAACAUCUGCUUGCUUCAACACAAGUGCCUCUGCUCAUGGCUGGGGUUAGAAUGAUACAUGCCCCAGUGCAUUCCACAAGUUACAGGGGAAAACCAAAAUAAUCUGAUGUAUCAAUUAUAACUUCCCCAUAGCCUUACAAAAGAAUAUCAGCCCAAGACUAAGGCAUCUCCUCAUCCUCCUGCCAUCUGGGAUUUGACUCCUUCUUCACCGACCUUGGUGUCUCCAGGUUGUUUUCUUUAUAUGUCUUCACCCUGUCAUUUUUAUCUCACUAGAGAGGAUUGAUGUCUGCAAGUUUUUUCUGUGCACUAGAAGAGCCAGUAUCUCUCCCGGGCCUGCGGAUGUCCGUGUGAUCUCUGCCGGGCAGGGCCGCCCGGGCUGCACGGCUGUGUCCGGCCCUGCCGCGGUCAAUCCCAGCUGCUUUCAGCUCCAGGCUGCCGGGCUGCCUCUCUUCUCAGCCCUGGGGUUUGCCACGGGGCCAGCAGGGCGGCUCGGCAGCUCCCGGCCCGGCUCUGGGCCGUGGUUGGAGCUCUGUGGCAGCAAAGCAGGGCCCGGCCUGGCCAGCGACCUGUUCCGAGGCCGGGAGCGAGAGAGUUUUCCCGGGGCUUGUUCGUCUUGGGUCCUCCCUGUGGCAGAUUUAGAGACCUCAGAAUAG